GAAAAAAUUAGUAAGAGAUAAAUUAUUAGUUCAUUUCGUUCUUAGAUCGAUAUCUCUGUCCAAACUUCCGAUUUGCUGUCUGUCUUUGAUACUUGGCAUGGUGGAGGCGUCGUCUUCUGUUCAUCAUACUGUUCGCUGCUCCAAAGAAGGUGCAGGCACUGGUGGACGCUAGAGCUUACGGUACAACAUUACAGUUAUCCAAACGUGGAGCUUAUAUCCGGACUUGGUAGGCCCUCAUGCUAUCGAGGAUGUCUACCGUUAUUAUCUAGCUUAGAUGUAGG
rnacentral:misc_RNA from 1 species